rnacentral:misc_RNA from 1 species
GAUGAAGAACGCAGCGAAAUGCGAUACGUAAUGUGAAUUGCAGAAUUCAGUGAAUCAUCGAGUCUUUGAACGCACAUUGCGCCCUCUGGUAUUCCGGAGGGCAUGCCUGUCCGAGCGUCAUUGCUGCCCUCAAGCACGGCUUGUGUGUUGGGCCCCGUCCUCCUUCCGGGGGACGGGUCCGAAAGGCAGCGGCGGCACCGCGUCCGGUCCUCAAGCGUAUGGGGCUUUGUCACUCGCUUUGUAGGCCUGGCCGGCGCUUGCCGAUCAACCAAACUUUUUAUCAGGUUGACCUCGGAUCAGGUAGGGAUACCCGCUGAACUUAAGCAUAUCAAUAAGCGGGGA